rnacentral:rRNA from 1 species
AUUGCAGGCUGCAACUCGCCUGCAUGAAGCUGGAAUUGCUAGUAAUCGCGGAUCAGCAUGCCGCGGUGAAUACGUUCCCGGGCCUUGUACACACCGCCCGUCACACCAUGAGAGUCGGGAACACCCGAAGUCCGUAGUCUAACCCGCAAGGGAGGGCGCGGCCGAAGGUGGGUCCGGUAAUUGGGGUGAAGUCGUAACAAGGUACC